rnacentral:rRNA from 1 species
AUUGAACGCUGGCGGCAGGCCUAACACAUGCAAGUCGAGCGGAUGAAGGGAGCUUGCUCCUGGAUUCAGCGGCGGACGGGUGAGUAAUGCCUAGGAAUCUGCCUGGUAGUGGGGGAUAACGUCCGGAAACGGGCGCUAAUACCGCAUACGUCCUGAGGGAGAAAGUGGGGGAUCUUCGGACCUCACGCUAUCAGAUGAGCCUAGGUCGGAUUAGCUAGUUGGUGGGGUAAAGGCCUACCAAGGCGACGAUCCGUAACUGGUCUGAGAGGAUGAUCAGUCAAACGGGAAUUGGGACACGGUCCAGACUCCUACGGGAGGCAGCAGUGGGGAAUAUUGGACAAUGGGCGAAAGCCUGAUCCAGCCAUGCCGCGUGUGUGAAGAAGGUCUUCGGAUUGUAAAGCACUUUAAGUUGGGAGGAAGGGCAGUAAGUUAAUACCUUGCUGUUUUGACGUUACCAACAGAAUAAGCACCGGCUAGCUUCGUG